ACAACCAUAUUACGUUGAAACACCGGUUCUAGUACGAUCAUCGAAGUUAAGCAACGUCGACCUGGUCAGUACCUAGAUCGGUGUCGGCUUGGGAAUACCGUGUGUCGCAAG